rnacentral:misc_RNA from 1 species
UCUCCGUAGGUGAACCUGCGGAGGGAUCAUUACCGAGUGAGGGUUCCGGCCCGACCUCCAACCCUUUGUGAAUUCGACCCAGUUGCCUCGGGGGCGACCCGGCCUUCGGGCGUCGGGGCCCCCGGUGGACCACCCAACCCUGCAUCGUUGCGUCUGAGUCGAAAUAUAAAUCAAUCAAAACUUUCAACAACGGAUCUCUUGGUUCUGGCAUCGAUGAAGAACGCAGC